rnacentral:rRNA from 1 species
CAGUAGCCACGGUAAUACGUAGGUGGCGAGCGUUGUCCGGAAUUAUUGGGCGUAAAGGGAGCGCAGGCGGACAUAUAAGUCCAUCUUAAAAGUGCGGGGCUCAACCCCGUGAGGGGAUGGAAACUGUAUGCCUUGAGUGCAGGAGAGGAAAGCGGAAUUCCCAGUGUAGCGGUGAAAUGCGUAGAUAUUGGGAGGAACACCAGUGGCGAAGGCGGCUUUCUGGACUGCAACUGACGCUGAGGCUCGAAAGCGUGGGGAGCAAACAGGAUUAGAUACCCCAGUAGUCCCUGUCUCUUAUACA